rnacentral:rRNA from 1 species
UACGUAGGUGGCAAGCGUUGUCCGGAUUUACUGGGUGUAAAGGGCGUGUAGGCGGGAUUGCAAGUCAGGCGUGAAAACCAGAGGCUCAACCUCUGGCCUGCGUUUGAAACUGCAGUUCUUGAGUACUGGAGAGGUUGGCGGAAUUCCUAGUGUAGCGGUGAAAUGCGUAGAUAUUAGGAGGAACACCAGUGGCGAAGGCGGCCAACUGGACAGCAACUGACGCUGAGGCGCGAAAGCGUGGGGAGCAAACAGG